AACGAACGCUGGCGGCAUGCCUAACACAUGCAAGUCGAACGAGACCUUCGGUCGUAGUGGCGCACGGGUGCGUAACUCGUGGAAACGUGGCCUUCGGUUCGCAAUAACUCGCCGAACGGGGUGCUAAUGCCGGAAAAUGUCUUCGGUCCAAAGUUUUCUCGCGAUGGGCUGGGCCCGCGUUGGCUUGCCUAGUUGGGAGGGUAAAAGCCUCCCAAGGCGACGAUCCAUAGCUGGUCUGAGGGGAGGAUCCGCCACACUGGGAAUGAGGCACGGCCCAGACUCCGAGGGGACGCAGCAGUGGGGAAUGUUGUACGAUGGGGGAAGGCGUAAUCCAGCAAUGCCGGGGAUGAGAUGAAGCCGUUAGUGUUGUAAAUCCCUCUUACACGGGAUGAUAAUGACAGUACCGGGAGAAGAAGCACCGGCUAACUCCGUG
rnacentral:rRNA from 1 species